AUCUUCCAUAAAAAACUGAAGCUGGCGCUGAAGUCCCAGCAAAUGAGUAGUUCAAAAGUUAGAAAGUUAGUUAGGCCUCUCCAGUUUAGGCAUUUUUACUUUCUUAAUUUGCAAUAAUUUCUUGGCCACAACGGUACAACAUCCUUCUAAUCUUUCCUGACUGAUCUGUUCAGAUUUGUACAAACAUACCUUAAUAGUCUUUGGAGCAUGGAUUAGAAAGCAAUGACUGACUUCUCAGGGGUCUGUCCCAACCCCACCCUGCAGAGUUGGUCAGGUGCUCAUCACAGACUGCGUCUGCUUCCACAGAAGCUCCAGAGCCAGGCAAGGAUCCAGUACAGCAACUGAAGCAGGAACACCCACAAGAGGAUCUGCAGGAGUUAGCACAUCUCCUGCAGAGCUUGUGUUCAGGCAAAAUUAAGAAAUCUUUUUGGAUAGAAGCUGACAUGGAAUAGAGCUAUUUGUCUUUUCCCUGUAACCUUGAGAACUCCAGCUUCUAGGAGCACAGCUUACUGCUAUGCUAACAGGUUACCUGGAAUAUGAAUCCGCAUCAAAAGCUGUGGCAAUCCUUUGUUGAGCAAGUCUCCUACCAGCACUGACAUAGUGGUUGCCAUAAAUUGCCACCAGGGAAAGGGAGCACUGAAGAAAGGAUGGGAUGACUUUCUGUCCCACACUUAAAACCAUGGUGGGAACCAUAGCAACAGCUGAGCAGGAGAAUACAGCAUGUUUCAUAUGGCAUAGAGAGCAUGAAAAAUCAGGCUUCCUCAUCUGGACAUCUUCUCAGCUCUGGUGGACUGCCUUAUUAUUGGGAUCUUGAAUCCACAACUGCUCCUCUUCAUUCUUGUUCUCCUCUUCCUCCUCCCUUCCAUGGUGCCUUCAUCUGUCUGUACUGCAGAAUGAGAAAUGUCCCUGGGGGACACUCAGCACUGAGACCCUUUUCCUACACUCAGCACUGUUAUUUCCCUGCCUGCUUCUUGAAAUUUCCAACAAUAUGUCUCCAAGACAAAUCCUAUGGCAAUCUUGGGGGACAUAAUGAUACCUGCUAGGAGGCAAUAUCAUUAAAUCUACCCAUUUCCCAAAUGCAAGCAUCCCUUACUCUCACUCAUGUGAGGCAGCAGGCAGGUUGCACCAUACCUGCAGAAAAGCUGCAAAAAUGGAUUUUUUGGACCCUAAGUUCAUCAGAUGUGGGCAUGUGGCUUAGUGCUGUGCUAUAUGGUCACAUGCAGUCUGUCACAGUGGGAGAUAGAUCAGGACUGGGGGUUGUUUUAAAGGAUGAGUUAAUUUACUCAAUGUUCUUACUCCUUCACCAUCACUCCCCCUAAAACAAAGAAUAAUUUAUUAUUAUCCAUUUCUACCAGUGAAACUCUUCUUAGAAUUGGCCUUAAAGACACAGAAAAUUACAUCAGUGCAAUUAUAUACAUUGUUGAUGCCAGUCCUGGAAAUUUUAUCAUUUCUUUUUGUUUGAAAAAUACAUAUGUGCUUGUAUACAUAUAUUGCAACUGAGAAAAGCUACUGCUUAGCAAAUAAAAGCAUAUUGUCAAUGGAAAAUUUGUCA
ensembl:lncRNA